rnacentral:rRNA from 34 species
AAGCUUGCUUCUCGCUGACGAGCGGCGGACGGGUGAGUAAUACUUAGGAAUCUACCUAGUAGUGGGGGAUAGCUCGGGGAAACUCGAAUUAAUACCGCAUACGACCUACGGGAGAAAGGGGGCAACUUGUUGCUCUCGCUAUUAGAUGAGCCUAAGUCGGAUUAGCUAGAUGGUGGGGUAAAGGCCUACCAUGGCGACGAUCUGUAGCUGGUCUGAGAGGAUGAUCAGCCACACCGGGACUGAGACACGGCCCGGACUCCUACGGGAGGCAGCAGUGGGGAAUAUUGGACAAUGGGGGCAACCCUGAUCCAGCCAUGCCGCGUGUGUGAAGAAGGCCUUUUGGUUGUAAAGCACUUUAAGCAGUGAAGAAGACUCCAUGGUUAAUACCCAUGGACGAUGACAUUAGCUGCAGAAUAAGCACCGGCUAACUCUGUGCCAGCAGCCGCGGUAAUACAGAGGGUGCAAGCGUUAAUCGGAAUUACUGGGCGUAAAGCGAGCGUAGGUGGCUUGAUAAGUCAGAUGUGAAAGCCCCGGGCUUAACCUGGGAACGGCAUCUGAUACUGUUAGGCUAGAGUAGGUGAGAGGAAGGUAGAAUUCCAGGUGUAGCGGUGAAAUGCGUAGAGAUCUGGAGGAAUACCGAUGGCGAAGGCAGCCUUCUGGCAUCAUACUGACACUGAGGUUCGAAAGCGUGGGUAGCAAACAGGAUUAGAUACCCUGGUAGUCCACGCCGUAAACGAUGUCUACUAGUCGUUGGGUCCCUUGAGGACUUAGUGACGCAGCUAACGCAAUAAGUAGACCGCCUGGGGAGUACGGCCGCA